UACUACCCCAUUGGUUAGAGUGACAGUCAGUCACACAAUGCAUGCAGCCAAUUGACACACCUGAUGUAAUUAUUUAGGCUUGCUCCAGCUUUCCCCAGUCAGGUGUGAGGGGGAGAGCUGGAGACAAAGGAGCUACAGGUUGGUGUUCUCAAACAAUCAGUUAUCUUUUUGUUUGUAAUGCACUUUUUAACCUUACAACAUAAAAAUCAUGUAGAUCCAAAAAAUCCAGUGAGUUUGGAGCCUUGAAGCUGCCAUGCUCCCAACUAUUAUUGAAAUUGGCCAGGUGAUCCCUUUUUAGGGUAAAAGAUGGCGAGCUUCUGAAAACUGGCUGGAGCCAGGAGAGCCCCAAGAAUCACUUCAUCCUGGUCUGGUCUGUAUCAAUUCCCCCUCCAUCUCACCACUCAGGCACACACUCCAUUAUUCAUCUUUUCAUCCGAAAGAACUUGCGCUGGGACAUUUUCAACUUAAAUAUCUGGAUAAUUCAACCAUGGACUUCUGAAUGUGUGUCGGUCAGGUUUUGGACUGACCAGCGGGGAAGUCAAGACCAGUUGUGCACAAACCAAUGAAGGACGGCCGCAGUACUGUGUAUAUUUUUUUGUUUGUUUUUUAUUUUUGGUCCUAUGUAUGUUUGUCUUGCAUUGUUCACUUUAAUUUUGUCUAAUACAUGGUAUUGAAA